rnacentral:rRNA from 1 species
UACCAGCUCUCCGAGUGGUAGGGGCGAUUAUUGGGCUUAAAGCGUCCGUAGCCAGUCCAUCAAGUCUCCCGUUAAAUCCAGCGACCCAAUCGUUGGACUGCGGGAGAUACUGUUGGGCUAGGGAGCGGGAGAGGCCGAUGGUAUUCUCGGGGUAGGAGUGAAAUCCUAUAAUCCCGGGAGGACCACCAGUGGCGAAGGCGGUCGGCGAGAACGCGUCCGACGGUGAGGGACGAAAGCUGGGGGAG